CUUGAAACACGGACCAAGGAGUCUAGCAUGUGCGCGAGUCAUUGGGAAUAACUAAACCUAAAGGCGCAAUGAAAGUGAAGGUUCGUCUUGCGCGGACCGAGGGAGGAUGGGCGCGCCGUGUUCACCGCGGUCGCCCCGCACUCCCGGGGCGUCUCGUUCUCAUCGCGAGAAGAGGCGCACCAAGAGCGUACACGCUGGGACCCGAAAGAUGGUGAACUAUGCCUGGUCAGGACGAAGUCAGGGGAAACCCUGAUGGAGGUCCGUAGCGAUUCUGACGUGCAAAUCGAUCGUCGGAACUGGGUAUAGGGGCGAAAGACUAAUCGAACCAUCUAGUAGCUGGUUCCCUCCGAAGUUUCCCUCAGGAUAGCUGGCGCUCGUCGCCUACGAGUCUCAUCCGGUAAAGCGAAUGAUUAGAGGCAUUGGGGUCGAAACGGCCUCAACCUAUUCUCAAACUUUAAAUGGGUGAGAUCUCCGGCUUGCUCGAACUACUGAAGCCGCGAGACACGGAUCAGAGUGCCAAGUGGGCCAUUUUUGGUAAGCAGAACUGGCGCUGUGGGAUGAACCAAACGCCGAGUUAAAGCGCCUAAAUCGACGCUUAUGGGAUACCAUGAAAGGCGUUGGUAACUUAAGACAGCAGGACGGUGGCCAUGGAAGUCGGAAUCCG
rnacentral:rRNA from 1 species